rnacentral:rRNA from 1 species
AACGAACGCUGGCGGCAUGCCUAACACAUGCCAGUCGAACGAGACCUUCGGGUCUAGUGGCGCACGGGUGCGUAACGCGUGGGAACCUGCCCUUAGGUUCGGAAUAACUCCCCGAAAGGGGUGCUAAUACCGGAUAAUGUCUUCGGACCAAAGAUUUAUCGCCUUUGGAUGGGCCCGCGUUGGAUUAGCUAGUUGGUAGGGUAAAAGCCUGCCAAGGCGACGAUCCAUAGCUGGUCUGAGAGGAUGACCAGCCACACUGGGACUGAGACACGGCCCAGACUCCUACGGGAGGCAGCAGUGGGGAAUAUUGGACAAUGGGCGAAAGCCUGAUCCAGCAAUGCCGCGUGAGUGAUGAAGGCCUUAGGGUUGUAAAGCUCUUUUACCCGGGAUGAUAAUGACAGUACCGGGAGAAUAAGCUCCGGCUAACUCCGUG